UACGGAGGUGGCAAGCGUUGUUCGGAAUUACUGGGCGUAAAGGGCGCGUAGGCGGAAUGAUCCGUCCGAUGUGAAAGUGCUACCGCUUAACGGAGCAAAGUCAUCGGAAACAAUCAUUCUUGAGACCGGGAGAGGUGAGUGGAAUUGCUGGUGUAGCGGUGGAAUGUAUAGAUACCAGCAAGAACACCGGUGGCGAAGGCGGCUCACUGGCCCGGAUCUGACGCUGAGUGCGCGAAAGCGUGGGGAGCAAACGGG
rnacentral:rRNA from 1 species